rnacentral:lncRNA from 1 species
GUGAUUUUAUAACUUACUGACCAAAUUUGUCCAAAUUGACCGCAUUUGGCAUAUCUAAGGUUUACUUAAGUCCCAAAAGGUCUAAACCGCAAAUAAAGUUAGCCCCAUGUCCAUACCCUUACUUCAAAACUCCAUAACUUGUUCAAUUUUUAUUCUUUUUGGGCUGAUUUAUGCUUCACGUGUUCGUCAAAUAGGUGUUAUCACAUGGUUUUGGUUUAGGCUUCAUCCAGAUCCAUUUGGCUCACUUAUGGCCCAAUAAUCCCAAAAGGUCAAAUUUGUCCUUCAUGUGCAUGCCACUAUGGACAUUUUUGUUCCAUACACAUCGUCCUCAAUGUCUUGGCUAGUUCUCAGCCAAAUUUGAGCCUUAAAUGCCAAGUAUUUUGGUAUCGGAACAUAAAUCAAGC